AGAGUUUGAUUCUGGCUCAGGAUGAACGCUGGCGGCGUGCCUAAUACAUGCAAGUCGAACGCACAGCGAAAGGUGCUUGCACCUUUCAAGUGAGUGGCGAACGGGUGAGUAACACGUGGAUAACCUACCUCAAGGUUGGGGAUAACAUUUGGAAACAGAUGCUAAUACCGAAUAAAACUUCGUAUCGCAUGAUACAAGGUUAAAAGGCGCUACGGCGUCACCUAGAGAUGGAUCCGCGGUGCAUUAGUUAGUUGGUGGGGUAAAGGCCUACCAAGACAAUGAUGCAUAGCCGAGUUGAGAGACUGAUCGGCCACAUUGGGACUGAGACACGGCCCAAACUCCUACGGGAGGCUGCAGUAGGGAAUCUUCCACAAUGGGCGAAAGCCUGAUGGAGCAACGCCGCGUGUGUGAUGAAGGCUUUCGGGUCGUAAAGCACUGUUGUAUGGGAAGAACAGCUAGAGUAGGGAAUGACUUUAGUUUGACGGUACCAUACCAGAAAGGGACGGCUAAAUACAUGCCAGCAGCCGCGGUAAAACGUAUUGUCCCGAGCGUUAUCCCGGAUUUAUUGGGCGUAAAGCGAGCGCAGACGGUUGAUUAAUUCUGAUGUGAAAGCCCCGGAGCUCAACUCCGGAAAAGGCAUUGGAAACUGGUCAACUUGAGUGCAGUAGAGGUAAGUGGAACUCCAUGUGUAGCGGUGGAAUGCGUAGAUAUAUGGAAGAACACCAGCGGCGAAGGCGGCUUACUGGACUGUAACUGACGUUGAGGCUCGAAAGUGUGGGUAGCAAACAGGAUUAGAUACCCUGGUAGUCCACACCGUAAACGAUGAACACUAGGUGUUAGGAGGGUUUCCGCCUCUUUAGUGCCGAAGCUAACGCAUUAAGUGUUUCCGCCUGGGGAGUACGACCGCAAGGUUGAAACUCAAAGGAAUUGACGGGGACCCGCACAAGCGGUGGAGCAUGUGGUUUAAUUCGAAGCAACGCGAAGAACCUUACCAGGUCUUGACAUCCUUUGAAGCUUUUAGAGAUAGAAGUGUUCUCUUCGGAGACAAAGUGACAGGUGGUGCAUGGUCGUCGUCAGCUCGUGUCGUGAGAUGUUGGGUUAAGUCCCGCAACGAGCGCAACCCUUAUUGUUAGUUGCUAGCAUUCAGAUGGGCACUCUAGCGAGACUGCCGGUGACAAACCGGAGGAAGGCGGGGACGACGUCAGAUCAUCAUGCCCCUUAUGACCUGGGCUACACACGUGCUACAAUGGCGUAUACAACGAGUUGCCAACCUGUGAAGGUGAGCUAAUCUCUUAAAGUACGUCUCAGUUCGGACUGCAGUCUGCAACUCGACUGCACGAAGUCGGAAUCGCUAGUAAUCGCGGAUCAGCACGCCGCGGUGAAUACGUUCCCGGGUCUUGCACUCACCGCCCGUCA
rnacentral:rRNA from 1 species